UAUGACCUACGGGGGGCAGCAGUGAGGAAUAUUGGUCAAUGGCCGGAAGGCUGAACCAGCCAAGCCGCGUGAAGGACGAAGGUGCCAAGCAUUGUAAACUUCUUUUGUCAAGAGACAAAAUCAGGCUCGAGAGCCUGACCGAGGGUACUUGAAGAAAAAGCAUCGGCUAACUCCGUGCCAGCAGCCGCGGUAAUACGUAGGUGGCAAGCGUUGUCCGGAAUUACUGGGUGUAAAGGGAGCGCAGGCGGGAAGCCAAGACAGCUGUGAAAACUACGGGCGUAACUU
rnacentral:rRNA from 1 species